rnacentral:rRNA from 1 species
AAGAAAGCACCGGCUUACCUUCCGUGCCAGGCAGCCGCGGUAAUUACGGAGGGGUGCGAGGCGUUUAUCGGAAUUACCUGGCCGUAAAGCGCCAUGCAGGUGGUUUGUUUAAGUCAGAUGUGAAAGCCCCGGGCUCCAACCCUCGGAAUUGCAUUGAAACUGGCAGACAAGAGUACUGUAGAGGGGGGUAGAAUUCAGGUGUAGCGGCUGAAUGCGUAGAGAUCUGAAGGAAUACCGGUGGCGAAGGCGGCCCCCUGGACAGAUACUGACACUCAGAUGCGAAAGCGUGGGGGAGCACACAGGAUUAGAUACCCUGGUAGUCCACGCCGUAAACGAUGUCUACUUGGAGGUUGUGGCCCUGAGCCGUGGCUUUUGGAGCUAACGCGUUAAGUAGACCGCCUGGGGAGUACGGUCGCAAGAUUAAAACUCAAAUGAAUUGACGGGGGCCCGCACAAGCGGUGGAGCAUGUGGUUUAAUUCGAUGCAACGCGAAGAACCUUACCUACUCUUGACAUCCAGAGAACUUUCCAGAGAUGGAUUGGUGCCUUCGGGAACUCUGAGACAGGUGCUGCAUGGCUGUCGUCAGCUCGUGUUGUGAAAUGUUGGGUUAAGUCCCGCAACGAGCGCAACCCUUAUCCUUGUUUGCCAGCGAGUAAUGUCGGGAACUCCAGGGAGACUGCCGGUGAUAAACCGGAGGAAGGUGGGGACGACGUCAAGUCAUCAUGGCCCUUACGAGUAGGGCUACACACGUGCUACAAUGGCGCAUACAGAGGGCAGCCAACUUGCGAAAGUGAGCGAAUCCCAAAAAGUGCGUCGUAGUCCGGAUUGGAGUCUGCAACUCGACUCCAUGAAGUCGGAAUCGCUAGUAAUCGUGGAUCAGAAUGCCACGGUGAAUACGUUCCCGGGCCUUGUACACACCGCCCGUCAAAGGCAUGGGAGUGGGCUGCAAAAGAAGUAGGGUAGUUUAAACCCUUCGGGGGGGACCCCCUUCUACCCAAUUU